AUGCCAGAGGGUCGCGCCGCCGGAGUUGCAAUGAAUCGCGCCGGAGGGUCGUUGAAAUUUGGUCGGGUUGCAAUGGAGCUCCACCGGAGCUGCAGUGAAGCACGCCGGAGGGUCGUCGAACCUGGUCUGGGUUGCAAUGGAGGGCCGGCGGCGCCGCUGGUGCUGCCAUGGAAGCUGCUGCUGGGGAUACAUAUGAUGGAUUUUGCGCCUGAUGGAUGGAAGAGCAGAGAAGGAAGACUGUGUUGUGCUACGAUGGAACGGCCACCUCGUCCAGAUUGGACGGCGGGCAAGGCUUAUCCGGCUUAUUUCUAG
rnacentral:rRNA from 1 species